AGCAGCCGCGGUAAUUCCAGCUCCAAUAGCGUAUAUUAAAGUUGUUGCAGUUAAAAAGCUCGUAGUUGAAUUUCGGGGUCAGCAGGUUGGUCGUGCCAAUGGUAUGCACUGGCCUUGCUGAUUCCUCCCUCUUGAUGAGCCGUAAUGCCAUUAAUUUGGUGUUGCGGGGAAUCAGGACUGUUACUUUGAAAAAAUUAGAGUGUUUAAAGCAGGCAAGCGCUUGAAUACAUUAGCAUGGAAUAAUGAAAUAGGACGUUUGAUCCUAUUUUGUUGGUUUCUAGGAUUGACGUAAUGAUUAAUAGGGAUAGUUGGGGGCAUUAGUAUUCAAUUGUCAGAGGUGAAAUUCUUGGAUUUAUUGAAGACUAACUACUGCGAAAGCAUUUGCCAAGGAUGUUUUCAUUAAUCAAGAACGGAAGUUAGGGGAUCGAAGACGAUCAGAUACCGUCGUAG
rnacentral:rRNA from 1 species